CCUACGGGUGACUGCAGUGAGGAAUAUUGGUCAAUGGACGAGAGUCUGAACCAGCCAAGUAGCGUGAAGGAUGACUGCCCUAUGGGUUGUAAACUUCUUUUAUAUGGGAAUAAAAUGUUCCACGUGUGGGAUUUUGUAUGUACCAUAUGAAUAAGGAUCGGCUAACUCCGUGCCAGCAGCCGCGGUAAUACGGAGGAUCCGAGCGUUAUCCGGAUUUAUUGGGUUUAAAGGGAGCGUAGGUGGAUUGUUAAGUCAGUUGUGAAAGUUUGCGGCUCAACCGUAAAAUUGCAGUUGAAACUGGCAGUCUUGAGUACAGUAGAGGUGGGCGGAAUUCGUGGUGUAGCGGUGAAAUGCUUAGAUAUCACGAAGAACUCCGAUUGCGAAGGCAGUUCACUGGACUGCAACUGACACUGAGGCUCGAAAGUGUGGGUAUCAAACAGGAUUAGAUACUCUAGUAGUC
rnacentral:rRNA from 1 species